ensembl:lncRNA
CUUCGCGUUCUCUUCAAGUGCGCCAAUGAGUAUGCGGCACCUGAAGACCGUACAGUUAGGUUAGAAACGCCUUGAAGACAGUGUCCUUCGUCAGGGAGGCAGGCCUUACGCCAGGGUGAUUCCCUAUUAGAAAUCCAGCAGAGAAGACAUCAACCAGCAAAUGAAUCUCCUCUAGAAUCUGGGAAAGAUAAUUGAGAAUCCUCCACUAAUGCAACUGAUUAGCAAAGAUCAUCUUACAGAAUGAGCACAAAGACACAACAUGGCUGCCCUCAAGAUGACCUAUUGCUUUCAAGUUGCUUGAACACAUCAGAAUUUCCAUUGUUAAGGUUGAUUAAUUGAAACUGAUAAGUUACCAUGAAUAAAGAUUGUUUUUCUGUUUAA